rnacentral:tRNA from 1 species
GGGAAUGUGGCUUAAUGGUAUAGUGCUUGCCUAGCAUGUAUGAAGCCCUGAGUUCAAUUCCUCAUUACCA